rnacentral:sRNA from 1 species
AAAAUGAUUAACAAUUAAUGCACCAAUCCCCACACUAUUGCAGUAGUGUGGGGAUUU